rnacentral:rRNA from 1 species
UACGAAGGGGGCUAGCGUUGUUCGGAAUCACUGGGCUUAAAGGGCGCGUAGGCGGGCUGACAAGUCUGGGGUGAAAUGCCGCGGCUCAACCGUGGAACUGCCUUAGAUACUGUCGGCCUCGAGGGAGGUAGGGGCAUGCGGAACUGUAGGUGGAGCGGUGAAAUGCGUUGAUAUCUACAGGAACUCCGGUGGCGAAAGCGGCGUGCUGGACCUCGUUCUGACGCUGAGGCGCGAAAGCUAGGGGAGCAAACGGG